GCUUAACACAUGCAAGUCGAACGAUGAAGCCCUUCGGGGUGGAUUAGUGGCGAACGGGUGAGUAACACGUGGGCAAUCUGCCCUUCACUCUGGGACAAGCCCUGGAAACGGGGGUCUAAUACCGGAUAACACUCUGUCCCGCAUGGGACGGGGUUGAAAGCUCCGGCGGUGAAGGAUGAGCCCGCGGCCUAUCAGCUUGUUGGUGGGGUAAUGGCCUACCAAGGCGACGACGGGUAGCCGGCCUGAGAGGGCGACCGGCCACACUGGGACUGAGACACGGCCCAGACUCCUACGGGAGGCAGCAGUGGGGAAUAUUGCACAAUGGGCGAAAGCCUGAUGCAGCGACGCCGCGUGAGGGAUGACGGCCUUCGGGUUGUAAACCUCUUUCAGCAGGGAAGAAGCGAAAGUGACGGUACCUGCAGAAGAAGCGCCGGCUAACUACGUGCCAGCAGCCGCGGUAAU
rnacentral:rRNA from 1 species